GUGGGGAAUAUUGGACAAUGGGCACAAGCCUGAUCCAGCAAUGCCGCGUGCAGGAAGAAGGCCUUCGGGUUGUAAACUGCUUUUGUACGGAACGAAACGGUCCUGGUUAAUACCUGGGGCUAAUGACGGUACCGUAAGAAUAAGCACCGGCUAACUACGUGCCAGCAGCCGCGGUAAUACGUAGGGUGCGAGCGUUAAUCGGAAUUACUGGGCGUAAAGCGUGCGCAGGCGGUGCUGUAAGACAGGCGUGAAAUCCCCGGGCUCAACCUGGGAAUUGCGCUUGUGACUGCAGUGCUGGAGUACGGCAGAGGGGGAUGGAAUUCCGCGUGUAGCAGUGAAAUGCGUAGAUAUGCGGAGGAACACCGAUGGCGAAGGCAGUCCCCUGGGCCUGUACUGACGCUCAUGCACGAAAGCGUGGGGAGCAAACAGGAUUAGAAACCCUUGUAGUCC
rnacentral:rRNA from 1 species